rnacentral:rRNA from 1 species
UACGUAGGUGGCAAGCGUUGUCCGGAAUCAUUGGGCGUAAAGCGCGUGUAGGCGGCCAGAAAAGUCCGCUGUGAAAACUCGAGGCUCAACUUCGAGCUGUCGGUGGAAACUUUCUGGCUAGAGUCCGGAAGAGGAGAAUGGAAUUCCUGGUGUAGCGGUGAAAUGCGCAGAUAUCAGGAGGAACACCAAUGGCGAAGGCAGCUCACUGGGACGGUAUUGACGCUGAGACGCGAAAGCGUGGGGAGCAAACAGG